rnacentral:lncRNA from 1 species
AUUAAGAUACUGGAGGUGUUUACUUCAGUAGUUUACUUUGGUAGUUUUGAAAUUUAUUCAAUUUAUUGAUAUAUUCUAUUAAAAUUUCAAUGCUUGAGAGUUCUGAUGAGUUAUUCUUUUGGAAGUGUUCUAACCUUUAACAUUACAGAAAAAGAUCUAGAAAUUUCUCUUCUCAAAGUUGACACCUAUAUCAUAUCACAUAGGAUAGAAGAUCAUGUGGACUAGCGAUGCCUUUUCAUUUCU